rnacentral:tRNA from 1 species
GCUCGUGGCCUAACGGUUAUCGCUCUUGCCUUCCACGCAAAAAGCCCCGGUUCAAUGCCUGGUCGCAAGUA